AUUGCACGCUGGCGGCAGGCCUAACACAUGCAAGUCGAGCGGAGCGGCGGACGGGUGAGUAAUGCCUAGCAAUCUGCCUGGUAGUGGGGGAUAAAGUCCGGAAACGGGCGCUAAUACCGCAUACUAUCAGAUGAGCCUAGGUCGGAGUAUCUAGUUGGUGGGGUAAAGGCUUACUAGGGCGACGAGCCGUAACUGGUCUGAGAGGAUGGUCAGUCACACUGGAACUGAGACACAGUCCAGACUCCUGCGGGAGGCAGCAGUGGGGAAUAUUGGAGAAUGGGCGAAAGCCUGAUCCAGCCAUGCCGCGUGGGUGAAGAAGAUUUUCGGAUUGUAAAGCACUUUAAGUUGGGAGGCUGUACCAACAGAAUAAGCACCGGCUAACUUCGUGCCAGCAGCCGCGGUAAUAC
rnacentral:rRNA from 1 species